rnacentral:rRNA from 1 species
UGCGUAGGUGGUUUCUUAAGUCAGGAGUGAAAGGCUACGGCUCAACCGUAGUAAGCUCUUGAAACUGGGAAACUUGAGUGCAGGAGAGGAAAGUGGAAUUCCUAGUGUAGCGGUGAAAUGCGUAGAUAUUAGGAAGAACACCAGUGGCGAAGGCGGCUCUCUGGACUGAAACUGACGCUGAGGCUCGAAAGCGUGGGGAGCAAACA